CAGUAGCCACGGUAAUACGGAGGGUGCUAGCGUUAAUCGGAAUUACUGGGCGUAAAGCGCGCGUAGGCGGUUCGUUAAGUCUGUUGUGAAAGCCCCGGGCUCAACCUGGGAAUGGCAAUGGAUACUGGCGAGCUAGAGUGUGUCAGAGGAUGGUGGAAUUCCCGGUGUAGCGGUGAAAUGCGUAGAGAUCGGGAGGAACAUCAGUGGCGAAGGCGGCCAUCUGGGACAACACUGACGCUGAGGCACGAAAGCGUGGGGAGCAAACAGGAUUAGAUACCCCUGUAGUCCCUGUCUCUUAUAA
rnacentral:rRNA from 1 species